rnacentral:pre_miRNA from 1 species
ACAACAUUCGGACCGUCGGUCUACCGAGCAAUAUCACCCGCUCGGUGGAAGAUCUUCCCUUUGUCUU